GAUGAACGCUGGCGGCGUGCCUAAUACAUGCAAGUCGAGCGAACAGACGAGGAGCUUGCUCCUCUGACGUUAGCGGCGGACGGGUGAGUAACACGUGGAUAACCUACCUAUAAGACUGGGAUAACUUCGGGAAACCGGAGCUAAUACCGGAUAAUAUAUUGAACCGCAUGGUUCAAUAGUGAAAGACGGUUUUGCUGUCACUUAUAGAUGGAUCCGCGCCGCAUUAGCUAGUUGGUAAGGUAACGGCUUACCAAGGCGACGAUGCGUAGCCGACCUGAGAGGGUGAUCGGCCACACUGGAACUGAGACACGGUCCAGACUCCUACGGGAGGCAGCAGUAGGGAAUCUUCCGCAAUGGGUGAAAGCCUGACGGAGCAACGCCGCGUGAGUGAUGAAGGUCUUCGGAUCGUAAAACUCUGUUAUUAGGGAAGAACAAAUGUGUAAGUAACUAUGCACGUCUUGACGGUACCUAAUCAGAAAGCCACGGCUAACUACGUG
rnacentral:rRNA from 1 species